UACGGAGGAUGCGAGCGUUAUCCGGAUUUAUUGGGUUUAAAGGGUGCGUAGGCGGGUUAUCAAGUCAGCGGUAAAAUCGUGGAGCUCAACUCCAUCCAGCCGUUGAAACUGAUGAUCUUGAGUAGGCGAGAAGUAUGCGGAAUGCGUGGUGUAGCGGUGAAAUGCAUAGAUAUCACGCAGAACUCCGAUUGCGAAGGCAGCAUACCGGCGCCCGACUGACGCUGAAGCACGAAAGCGUGGGUAUCGAACAGG
rnacentral:rRNA from 1 species